ACGCUAGCGAUAGGCUUAACACAUGCAAGUCGAGGGGCAGCAUGGUCUUAGCUUGCUAAGACUGAUGGCGACCGGCGCACGGGUGCGUAACGCGUAUGCAACUUGCCUCACAGAGGGGGAUAACCCGUCGAAAGACGGACUAAUACCGCGUACACUCUAUGUUGGGCAUCCAAUGUAGAGGAAAUGAACUUCGCUGUGAGAUAGGCAUGCGUCCCAUUAGCUAGUUGGUGAGGUAACGGCUCACCAAGGCGACGAUGGGUAGGGGAACUGAGAGGUUGAACCCCCACACUGGUACUGAGACACGGACCAGACUCCUACGGGAGGCAGUAGUGAGGAAUAUUGGUCAAUGGGCGAGAGCCUGAACCAGCCAAGUCGCGUGAAGGAUGACUGUCUUAUGGAUUGUAAACUUCUUUUAUACGGGAAUAACAAGAGUCACGUGUGGCUCCCUGCAUGUACCGUAUGAAUAAGCAUCGGCUAACUCCGUGCCAGCAGCCGCGGUAAUACGGAGGAUGCGAGCGUUAUCCGAAUUUAUUGGGUUUAAAGGGUGCGUAGGCGGCCUGUUAAGUCAGCGGUGAAAUCUAGGAGCUUAACUCCUAAAUUGCCAUUGAUACUGGCGGGCUUGAGUGUAGAUGAGGUAGGCGGAAUGCGUGGUGUAGCGGUGGAAUGCAUAGAUAUCACGCAGAACUCCGAUUGCGAAGGCAGCUUACUAAGGUACAACUGACGCUGAAGCACGAAAGCGUGGGUAUCAAACAGGAUUAGAUACCCUGGUAGUCCACGCAGUAAACGAUGAUAACUGGGCGUAUGCGAUAUACAGUAUGCUCCUAAGCGAAAGCGUUAAGUUAUCCACCUGGGGAGUACGCCGGCAACGGUGAAACUCAAAGGAAUUGACGGGGGCCCGCACAAGCGGAGGAACAUGUGGUUUAAUU
rnacentral:rRNA from 1 species